rnacentral:rRNA from 1 species
AGCGAACGCUGGCGGCAGGCCUAACACAUGCAAGUCGAACGAACUCUUCGGAGUUAGUGGCGGACGGGUGAGUAACACGUGGGAACGUGCCUUUAGGUUCGGAAUAACUCAGGGAAACUUGUGCUAAUACCGAAUGUGCCCUUCGGGGGAAAGAUUUAUCGCCUUUAGAGCGGCCCGCGUCUGAUUAGCUAGUUGGUGAGGUAAAGGCCCACCAAGGCGACGAUCAGUAGCUGGUCUGAGAGGAGGAUCAGCCACAUUGGGACUGAGACACGGCCCAAACUCCUACGGGAGGCAGCAGUGGGGAAUCUUGCGAAAUGGGCGAAAGCCUGACGCAGCCAUGCCGCGUGAAUGAUGAAGGUCUUAGGAUUGUAAAAUUCUUUAACCGGGGACGAUAAUGACGGUACCCGGAGAAGAAGCCCCGGCUAACUUCGUG